rnacentral:rRNA from 1 species
AUUGAACGCUGGCGGCAUGCCUUACACAUGCAAGUCGAACGGUAACAGGUCUUCGGAUGCUGACGAGUGGCGAACGGGUGAGUAAUACAUCGGAACGUGCCUAGUAGUGGGGGAUAACUACUCGAAAGAGUGGCUAAUACCGCAUGAGAUCUACGGAUGAAAGCAGGGGAUCGCAAGACCUUGUGCUACUAGAGCGGCCGAUGGCAGAUUAGGUAGUUGGUGGGAUAAAAGCUUACCAAGCCGACGAUCUGUAGCUGGUCUGAGAGGACGAUCAGCCACACUGGGACUGAGAAACGGCCCGGACUCCUACGGGAGGCAGCAGUGGGGAAUUUUGGACAAUGGGCGCAAGCCUGAUCCAGCAAUGCCGCGUGCAGGAUGAAGGCCUUCGGGUUGUAAACUGCUUUCGUACGGAACGAAAAGCCCCGGGUUAAUACCCUGGGGUCAUGACGGUACCGUAAGAAUAAGCACCGGCUAACUACGUGCCAGCCGCCGCGGUAA